AAUGUUAAGGUAAACCAGCUAUGUUAAAAGGCUAUUUCUUCUCUUCCCUUUCGAAUAAAAAUAAGCAUUAUCUUGAAAAUAAAGGAGACCAGCACCAGGGAAGAAUCAGCUGGGGAGGGUAUAGAUGGAUUAGGUUCUGUCUUGGAUAUGAAGAGGACAAGCAGAUUCCAUAAAGCAGCGGGUAGCAGUUACUCCGGAUGCCGUCCUCCAGAAGUGAACCUGGGCAUCGAAGGAUUUCUGACCCAGGGGAGGCCUUGCAGGCCUGACCAAUAAACCAACUGUGCACUGCCUGGUAAGGCACUAUCUGUGUAAUUAUUUUCUUCUGACUUUCUUCUCACCUCAUGAAAUACUCCUCUGAUGACUACUCCUGGAUUCUCCUUAAGAA
ensembl:lncRNA